GGCCAGUUAGCUCAGUUGGUUAGAGCAUGGUGUUGAUAACACCAAGGUGCAGGGUUCAAUUCCUGCACUGGCCA